AACGAACGCUGGCGGCAGGCUUAACACAUGCAAGUCGAACGCACCGCAAGGUGAGUGGCAGACGGGUGAGUAACACGUGGGGAUCUGCCCAAUGGUACGGAAUAGCUCCGGGAAACUGGAAUUAAUACCGUAUGUGCCCUUCGGGGGAAAGAUUUAUCGCCAUUGGAUGAACCCGCGUCGGAUUAGCUAGUUGGUGAGGUAAAGGCUCACCAAGGCGACGAUCCGUAGCUGGUCUGAGAGGAUGAUCAGCCACACUGGGACUGAGACACGGCCCAGACUCCUACGGGAGGCAGCAGUGGGAAAUAUUGGACAAUGGGCGCAAGCCUGAUCCAGCCAUGCCGCGUGAGUGAUGAAGGCCUUAGGGUUGUAAAGCUCUUUCGCCGACGAAGAUAAUGACGGUAGUCGGAGAAGAAGCCCCGGCUAACUUCGUGCCAGCAGCCGCGGUAA
rnacentral:rRNA from 1 species